rnacentral:rRNA from 1 species
UACGGACCGGACAAACGUUAUUCGGAAUCACUGGGCUUAAAGGGUACGUAGGCGGCUCAGAAAGUUGGAUGUGAAAUCCCUCGGCUCAACCGAGGAAUUGCGUUCAAAACUACUGAGCUUGAGGAAGGUAGGGGUGAGCGGAACUGAUGGUGGAGCGGUGAAAUGCGUUGAUAUCAUCAGGAACACCAGUGGCGAAGGCGGCUCACUGGGCCUUUUCUGACGCUGAGGUACGAAAGCUAGGGUAGCGAACGGG